AUGUUACUAAAUGAUGCAUGCGUGUAUGUUUGUUGUGCAUUUACAAAUAGUAAUAUGCAGUUGUGCGACCAACUAGGACAUUUAUGGCCUUUUUGUAAGCUGCCAUGGUUUAUGCAACAAAUAGGAGCGUAUAUGUCAGCAGUAAUGGGAUAUGCAACAGAUAGGAAUUCAUGGUUGACCAUGUGUGUUGAAAGUUGAUAUACGACUUAAACAAGGAUCAGGCUAAAUUGCACACUUUAAUCAGACUGCCUCCGUCUGAUUCACGAGGACCGGCUCUUUCCAGUCAAUGCUAGUGCAGCCUACAGGCUACAGCCUAAUCCAUUGGACUAAGCGGAUUACAACGCAAGGCUCGGGCCGAAAUUGGAAUGUCUGGAUUCGGUUUCCAAGUUAUAUUGUUCAUUUGUUCUCAAUACUGGCUGAUUGAUUCAAAUAUUCUGAAGUUGUUAUAAGAGGAGAAUGUCAUAUUCCGCGUUGAACCCAACAAUGUCCUCAAGUUUGCAGAGGCACUAAUCACUUUCACAUCAACCUUGUACAUCCUACAUAUGCAUAAAACAUUGUUUGAAGCAAUUCACAAGGAACAAGCAACCUAAGAGGCACCAAGCGUCAUAUUCCAUCCAGUAUCCUUUCGUUGAACACAGCAUUCAAGCUACUUCCCGCACAAAAGUGUGCUUGAUACUUGCUGAAGGUGAAACUAGCACAAACUAGUAGUGCUAGAAGCUCUCAAUCAGAAAUCAAACAGGCCACUAAUGACCUAUUCACUUAAAGAACCAUUGGGAAUCAUCCUCUGUUUCUCCUGCUCCAAAUAGUAGAUCUUGUCGUUCAUACCUUCCUUCUUGUAUGCCUCCACCAUGAUAGAGUAGGUUCUUGAAUCCGGUUGGCAUUGAUUAUCUUUCAUCCGAUUAAAAACUCUCUCCAUCUCCAUCAAAUCCUCUGCCUUCGCGCAUGCAGAAAUAACCGCAUUAUAGAACAUGGUAUUCUCAGAUAUUUCAAACUUUGCAGCCAACUGAACAGUGCUAAUUACCUUGUGGAAGAGACCUGCAUUGGCAUAUCCAUUAAUAAGGGAACAAAAUGUCUUGGUGUCUGCUUUCAUGCCCUCUGCUCGCAUCUGAUCAAAUGUAUACUCCAUGUGUUUCACAUCCCCCACCUCUGCAAAAACUUCAAUCACAUUGUUGUAAGUUGAGGUCGUCCAAGGAAACUGAAGCUUGCGCAUGUACUCCAUUACCAAUGACAUCUUAUCAUACAUCCGUUUCUUUCCAUAAGCACCAAUCAAAAUAUUGAAAGUGCGAGUUUCUGGUUCAAUUCCAAAAUUGCGGAACUUCUCAUACCAUCUCUCCAUCGAAUCAAUCUGACCCUUGUUACCAAACACAUUGAGGAUGAUGUUCAUUGUCCAAACAUCAGGUUUACACCCUGUGCUCUCUAGCAUCCCAGAGAGCACUUUCUCCAUCUGGUCAUACAUCCCUGCCUUCCCAUAUCCACUUAAAACUAUAUUUUGUGUGACUGUGUUUGGAGUGAUCAAUCUUUCAUCCAUUUCUCGAUAUAAAUCCUCAACCAGUUCAAAUCUUGAAGCAUCAACACAAGCCUUGAGUAAGGUGCUAUAGGUGAAAACGUCAGGCUGGCAACGAGGGAGAGUCUUCAUUUGAUCAAGAACGGAAAACGCCUCAUUGAUGAGAUCAGUGCGACAAUAAGCAGCCAGCAAUGCAGUAUAGAGUUCCGCUGUGGGUUCCAAUCCUUCUUCAAUCAUUUCAUCGAAGAGUUGGCGGGCACGAUUGGCCUGGCCAGAUUUCCCCAACAGAACUAGCAGCUUCAUGUAGGUCCCUUCUUUCGGGUAAUAGAAUGGUUGUCCUCUUAGCAUCUCAAAGACCUCGAGGGCUUGGAACCACUGCUUCUUGAGGAUGCGAUCAGACAAUGCUUCAGUGACAGUGUUGACCCAGGCCUUGGCCUUGUUCUUGCGGUCCAAUUUCUUUUUGAUAUUCUUGAUAGGGGUCCUCCUGGGAACGAAAGUUUCAGUAGUUCCAGGGAAUUCGCCCUGCUUCCAGUGCUUUUUAGGAGAGGAAACGGAAGUAGACGGUGUAGCAGCGGAAGCAGAAUAUGCACAUCGAACAAGUCUCAAUUUUGGUUGAUGGGUUUUGAGUUUAGUCUUACUGUUGUUGCUAUGAGGGAGAGGAGAGGGAAGCAGCGAAGAUGAGAACGAGAGAGAAACUGAUGAUGCCAUUUCAUUGCUGGGACUCAGCGCUCACUUUGUCUCAGACAGACGAACCCGAUACUUUAUCAUGUGACCACAACGGAAUCUGUAAAAUUACCUGUUCAUCCCUGGCCUGAAGAUGAGUUGGCCGUUGUGCCCUUGACUCUUUGUUUUUUCCUUAUUCUUCUAUAAACUAUGGAA
rnacentral:misc_RNA from 1 species